UAGGGAAUCUUCGGCAAUGGACGGAAGUCUGACCGAGCAACGCCGCGUGAGUGAAGAAGGUUUUCGGAUCGUAAAGCUCUGUUGUAAGAGAAGAACGAGUGUGAGAGUGGAAAGUUCACACUGUGACGGUAUCUUACCAGAAAGGGACGGCUAACUACGUGCCAGCAGCCGCGGUAAUACGUAGGUCCCGAGCGUUGUCCGGAUUUAUUGGGCGUAAAGCGAGCGCAGGCGGUUAGAUAAGUCUGAAGUUAAAGGCUGUGGCUUAACCAUAGUAGGCUUUGGAAACUGUUUAACUUGAGUGCAAGAGGGGAGAGUGGAAUUCCAUGUGUAGCGGUGAAAUGCGUAGAUAUAUGGAGGAACACCGGUGGCGAAAGCGGCUCUCUGGCUUGUAACUGACGCUGAGGCUCGAAAGCGUGGGGAGCAAACAGGAUUAGAUACCCUGGUAGUCCACGCUGUAAACGAUGAGUGCUAGGUGUUAGACCCUUUCCGGGGUUCAGUGCCGUAGCUAACGCAUUAAGCACUCCGCCUGGGGAGUACGACCGCAAGGUUG
rnacentral:rRNA from 1 species